rnacentral:rRNA from 1 species
GACAGAGGUGCCAAGCGUUAGGCGGAAUCACUGGGCUUAAAGCGUGUGUAGGCGGAUGCCUAAGUACCUUGUGAAAUCCCACGGCUCAACCGUGGAACUGCUGGGGUAUACUGGGGUGUCUUGGGUCAUCUAGGGGCUGCCGGAACAAAUGGUGGAGCGGUGAAAUGCGUAGAUAUCAUUUGGAACGCCAACGGCGAAAGCAGGCAGCUGGGGAUGCACCGACGCUGAGACACGAAAGCCAGGGGAGCGAACGGG